rnacentral:rRNA from 1 species
AGUAACGCGUGGAUAACCUGCCUCACACAGGGGGAUAACAGUUAGAAAUGACUGCUAAUACCGCAUAAGCGCACAGUACCGCAUGGUACAGUGUGAAAAACUCCGGUGGUGUGAGAUGGAUCCGCGUCUGAUUAGGUAGUUGGUGGGGUAACGGCCCACCAAGCCGACGAUCAGUAGCCGACCUGAGAGGGUGACCGGCCACAUUGGGACUGAGACACGGCCCAG